rnacentral:tRNA from 1 species
UAAUAAGUUGGCAGAUUAAUGCAAUUGAUUUAGGUUCAAUAAAUGAAUUAUUUCACUUAUUAG